rnacentral:rRNA from 1 species
UACAGAGGGUGCAAGCGUUGUUCGGAAUCAUUGGGCGUAAAGGGUGUGUAGGCGGGCCAUUAAGUCAGGGGUGAAAUCCCGGAGCUCAACUCCGGAACUGCCUUUGAUACUAUUGGUCUUGAAUGUUGUUGAGGUGGGCGGAACGGGUCAUGAAGCGGUGAAAUGCAUAGAUAUGACCCGGAACACCGAUUGCGAAGGCAGCCCGCUAAGCAACUAUUGACGCUGAGGCACGAAAGCGUGGGGAUCAAACAGG